rnacentral:rRNA from 1 species
AGCGAACGCUGGCGGCAGGCCUAACACAUGCGAGUCGAACGAACUCUUCGGAGUUAGUGGCGGACGGGUGAGUAACACGUGGGAACGUGCCUUUAGGUUCGGAAUAACUCAGGGAAACUUGUGCUAAUACCGAAUGUGCCCUUCGGGGGAAAGAUUUAUCGCCUUUAGAGCGGCCCGCGUCUGAUUAGCUAGUUGGUGAGGUAAAGGCUCACCAAGGCGACGAUCAGUAGCUGGUCUGAGAGGAUGAUCAGCCACAUUGGGACUGAGACACGGCCCAAACUCCCACGGGAGGCAGCAGUGGGGAAUCUUGCGCAAUGGGCGAAAGCCUGACGCAGCCAUGCCGCGUGAAUGAUGAAGGUCUUAGGAUUGUAAAAUUCUUUCACCGGGGACGAUAAUGACGGUACCCGGAGAAGAAGCCCCGGCUAACUUCGUG